CGUAUGAAGUACGUUUCACCCUCGGGUGACAGGGAGACAGGUGGUGCAUGGUUGUCGUCAGCUCGUGUCGUGAGAUGUUGGGUUAAGUCCCGCAACGAGCGCAACCCCUACGUUUAGUUGCUAACAGGUGAAGCUGAGCACUCUAGACGAACUGCCGUUGACAAACGGAGGAAGGUGGGGAUGACGUCAAAUCAUCAUGCCCCUUAUGUUCUGGGCUACACACGUGCUACAAUGGCCGGUACAGACGGAGGCGAAGCCGCGAGGCGGAGCAAACCGAAAAAGCCGGUCUCAGUUCGGAUUGCAGGCUGCAAUUCGCCUGCAUGGAGUCGGAAUCGCUAGUAAUCGCAGGUCAGCAUACUGCGGUGAAUACGUUCCCGGGCCUU
rnacentral:rRNA from 1 species